rnacentral:rRNA from 1 species
UACGUAGGGCGCAAGCGUUGUCCGGAAUUAUUGGGCGUAAAGAGCUCGUAGGCGGUCUGUCGCGUCCGUUGUGAAAACUCGAGGCUCAACCUCGGGCUUGCAGUGGAUACGGGCAGACUAGAGUGCGGUAGGGGAGACUGGAAUUCCUGGUGUAGCGGUGAAAUGCGCAGAUAUCAGGAAGAACACCCGUGGCGAAGGCGGCUCUCUGGAACGCAACUGACGCUGAGACGCGAAAGCGUGGGGAGCAAACAGG